UAGAGAAUCUUGCACAAUGGGCGAAAGCCUGAUGCAGCCACGCCGCGUGGAGGAAGAAGGCCUUCGGGUUGUAAACUCCUUUCAACAGGGAAGAAGCGAAAGUGACGGUACCUGUAUAAGAAGCCCCGGCCAACUACGUGCCAGCAGCCGCGGUAAUACGUAGGGGGCGAGCGUUGUCCGGAAUUAUUGGGCGUAAAGCGCGUGUAGGCGGCCCGUUAAGUCGGCUGUGAAAUCCCGGGGCUCAACCCCGGAACUGCAGUCGAUACUGACGGGCUUGAGGUAGCUAGAGGAGAGUGGAAUUCCCAGUGUAGCGGUGGAAUGCGCAGAUAUUGGGAGGAACACCAAUGGCGAAGGCAGCUCUCUGGAGCUCACCUGACGCUGAGACGCGAAAGCAUGGGUAGCAAACAGGAUUAGAUACCCCCGUAGUCC
rnacentral:rRNA from 1 species